GUGAGGAAUAUUGGUCAAUGGACGAGAGUCUGAACCAGCCAAGUCGCGUGAAGGAAGACGGUUCUAUGAAUUGUAAACUUCUUUUGUGCAGGAAUAAAGUGGGUUACGUGUAACCUUUUGUAUGUACUGUACGAAUAAGGAUCGGCUAACUCCGUGCCAGCAGCCGCGGUAAUACGGAGGAUCCGAGCGUUAUCCGGAUUUAUUGGGUUUAAAGGGUGCGUAUGUGGAUUGAUAAGUCAGCGGUGAAAGUUUGCAGCUUAACUGUAAAAUUGCCGUUGAAACUGUCGGUCUUGAGUGCAAAUGAGGUAGGCGGAAUGUGUUGUGUAGCGGUGAAAUGCUUAGAUAUCACACAGAACACCGAUUGCGUAGGCAGCUUACUGGAGCGCAACUGACGCUGAGGCACGAAAGCGUGGGGAUCGAACAGGAUUAGAAACCCUUGUAGUCC
rnacentral:rRNA from 1 species